rnacentral:rRNA from 1 species
GACGAACGCUGGUGGCGUGCUUAACACAUGCAAGUCGAACGGGAUUUCGUAAACAGAAGCCUCGGUGGAAGAUUACUAAUGAGAGUGGCGAACGGGGGAGUAACGCGUGAGCAACCUGCCUAUGACAGUGGGAUAGCCUCGGGAAACCGGGAUUAAUACCGCAUAAAAUCGUAGAAACACAUGUUUUAACGGUCAAAGAUUUAUCGGUCAUAGAUGGGCUCGCGUCUGAUUAGCUAGUUGGUGAGAUAACAGCCCACCAAGGCGACGAUCAGUAGCCGGUCUGUGAGGAUGAACGGCCACAUUGGAACUGAGACACGGUCCAAACUCCUACGGGAGGCAGCAGUGGGGAAUAUUGCACAAUGGGGGAAACCCUGAUGCAGCGACGCCGCGUGAACGAAGAAGGUAUUCGUAUCGUAAAGUUCUGUCCUAUGGGAAGAUAAUGACAGUACCAUAGAAGAAAGCUCCGGCUAAAUACGUG